rnacentral:rRNA from 1 species
UCAAGUAAUUAAGUGCAUGUGGUGGAUGCCUUGGCAGUCAGAGGCGAUGAAAGACGUGAUAGCCUGCGAAAAGCUCCGGGGAGGCGGCAAAUAUCCUUUGAUCCGGAGAUGUCUGAAUGGGGGAACCCACCUACUUUAAGGUAGGUAUUGCAACAUGAAUACAUAGUGUUGCAAGGCGAACGAGGGGAAGUGAAACAUCUCAGUACCCUUAGGAAAAGAAAUCAAUUGAGAUUCCCUCAGUAGCGGCGAGCGAACGGGGAUCAGCCCAUUAAGUUAUGUGUGUUUUAGUGGAACGCUCUGGGAAGUGCGAACGUAGAGGGUGAUAUUCCCGUACACGAAAGGGCACACAUAAUGAUGACGAGUAGGGCGAGGCACGUGAAACCUUGUCUGAAUAUGGGGGGCCAUCCUCCAAGGCUAAAUACUCCUGACUGACCGAUAGUGAACCAGUACCGUGAGGGAAAGGCGAAAAGAACCCCUGUGAGGGGAGUGAAAUAGAUCCUGAAACCGCAUGCAUACAAGCAGUGGGAGCACCUUCGUGGUGUGACUGCGUACCUUUUGUAUAAUGGGUCAGCGACUUAUAUUCAGUAGCGAGGUUAACCGUAUAGGGGAGCCGUAGAGAAAUCGAGUCUUAAUAGGGCGUUUAGUUGCUGGGUAUAGACCCGAAACCAGGCGAUCUAUCCAUGAGCAGGUUGAAGGUUGGGUAACACUAACUGGAGGACCGAACCCACUGUCGUUGAAAAGCCAGGGGAUGACUUGUGGAUAGGGGUGAAAGGCUAAUCAAGCCUGGUGAUAGCUGGUUCUCCCCGAAAGCUAUUUAGGUAGCGCCUCGGACGAAUACCAUAGGGGGUAGAGCACUGUUUCGGCUAGGGGGUCAUCCCGACUUACCAAACCGAUGCAAACUCCGAAUACCUAUGAGUACUAUCCGGGAGACAGACUGCGGGUGCUAACGUCCGUAGUCAAGAGGAAAACAAUCCAGACCGCCAGCUAAGGCCCCAAAAUCAUAGUUAAGUGGGAAACGAUGUGGGAAGGCAUAGACAGCUAGGAGGUUGGCUUAGAAGCAGCCACCCUUUAAAGAAAGCGUAAUAGCUCACUAGUCGAGUCGGCCUGCGCGGAAGAUGUAACGGGGCUAAAACUAUGUGCCGAAGCUGCGGAUGUAUACUUUGUAUACGUGGUAGGGGAGCGUUCUGUAAGCCGAUGAAGGUGUGUUGAGAAGCAUGCUGGAGGUAUCAGAAGUGCGAAUGCUGACGUGAGUAACGACAAAACGGGUGAAAAACCCGUUCGCCGAAAGACCAAGGGUUCCAGUCCAACGUUAAUCGGGGCUGGGUGAGUCGACCCCUAAGGCGAGGCCGAAAGGCGUAGUCGAUGGGAAAAUGGUUAAUAUUCCAUUACUUCUGUGUAAUGCGAUGAGAGGACGGAGAAGGCUAAAUCAGCCUGGCGUUGGUUGUCCAGGUGAAAGGAUGUAGGCAUGUAUCUUAGGCAAAUCCGGGGUACUCUAUGCUGAGAUCUGAUAGCAAGCUGUACUUGUACAGCGAAGUGGUUGAUGCCAUGCUUCCAGGAAAAGUCUCUAAGCUUCAGUUACACAGGAAUCGUACCCGAAACCGACACAGGUGGUCAGGUCGAGUAGACCAAGGCGCUUGAGAGAACUCUGCUGAAGGAACUAGGCAAAAUGGUACCGUAACUUCGGGAGAAGGUACGCUGUUGUUGGUGAUGGAACUCGCUUCCUGAGCUGACGACAGCCGCAGAAACCAGGCCGCUGCAACUGUUUAUUAAAAACAUAGCACUCUGCAAACACGAAAGUGGACGUAUAGGGUGUGAUGCCUGCCCGGUGCUGGAAGGUUAAUUGAUGGGGUUAGCGUAAGCGAAGCUCUUGAUCGAAGCCCCAGUAAACGGCGGCCGUAACUAUAACGGUCCUAAGGUAGCGAAAUUCCUUGUCGGGUAAGUUCCGACCUGCACGAAUGGCAUAAUGAUGGCGGCGCUGUCUCCAGCAGAGGCUCAGUGAAAUCGAAAUCGCUGUGAAGAUGCAGUGUACCCGCGGCUAGACGGAAAGACCCCGUGAACCUUUACUGCAGCUUGACACUGAACUUUGACCUUACUUGUGUAGGAUAGGUGGGAGGCUUUGAAGCUGGAACGCUAGUUCCAGUGGAGCCGUCCUUGAAAUACCACCCUGGUAAUGUUGAGGUUCUAACUCUGUCCCGUGAUCCGGGACGAGGACCGUGUCUGGUGGGUAGUUUGACUGGGGCGGUCUCCUCCUAAAGAGUAACGGAGGAGUACGAAGGUGCGCUCAGCGUGGUCGGAAAUCACGCGUAGAGUAUAAAGGCAAAAGCGCGCUUAACUGCGAGACCCACAAGUCGAGCAGGUACGAAAGUAGGUCUUAGUGAUCCGGUGGUUCUGUAUGGAAGGGCCAUCGCUCAACGGAUAAAAGGUACUCUGGGGAUAACAGGCUGAUACCGCCCAAGAGUUCAUAUCGACGGCGGUGUUUGGCACCUCGAUGUCGGCUCAUCUCAUCCUGGGGCUGAAGCAGGUCCCAAGGGUAUGGCUGUUCGCCAUUUAAAGAGGUACGCGAGCUGGGUUUAGAACGUCGUGAGACAGUUCGGUCCCUAUCUACCGUGGGCGCUGGAAAUUUGAGAGGAUCUGCUCCUAGUACGAGAGGACCAGAGUGGACGAACCUCUGGUGUACCGGUUGUGACGCCAGUCGCAUCGCCGGGUAGCUAUGUUCGGAAGGGAUAACCGCUGAAAGCAUCUAAGCGGGAAGCCUACCUCAAGAUAAGAUUUCCCUAGGACUUUAUGUCCUCUAAAGAGCCGUUCGAGACUAGGACGUUGAUAGGUUGGAUGUGGAAGCAUAGUGAUAUGUGAAGCUGACCAAUACUAAUUGCUCGUGAGGCUUGACUAU